rnacentral:rRNA from 1 species
UACGUAGGGUGCAAGCGUUAAUCGGAAUUACUGGGCGUAAAGGGUGCGCAGGCGGCUUUUCAAGUCAGCUGUGAAAUCCCCGGGCUCAACCUGGGAACUGCAUUUGUGACUGCAUGGCUGGAGUGCGGGAGAGGGGGAUGGAAUUCCGCGUGUAGCAGUGAAAUGCGUAGAUAUGCGGAGGAACACCGAUGGCGAAGGCAACCCCCUGGGCCUGUACUGACGCUCAGGCACGAAAGCGUGGGGAGCAAACAGG